rnacentral:rRNA from 1 species
UACGUAGGGUGCAAGCGUUGUCCGGAAUUAUUGGGCGUAAAGAGCUUGUAGGCGGUUUGUCGCGUCUGCUGUGAAAUUUCGGGGCUCAACCCCGAACUUGCAGUGGGUACGGGCAGACUAGAGUGUGGUAGGGGAGACUGGAAUUCCUGGUGUAGCGGUGAAAUGCGCAGAUAUCAGGAGGAACACCGAUGGCGAAGGCAGGUCUCUGGGCCAUCCUGACACUGAGAAGCGAAAGCUAGGGGAGCGAACGGG